rnacentral:lncRNA from 1 species
AGAAGAACAGGAACAAAUUUCACAAGUGAACAACCAAUAAAAAAUAAACUAUAGACGAAUCACUAUAAACGCACAAUCACAGAUAUCACGACUAAUACUGCUGACGAUGCCGCUACAGAUGUCGCCGAAGAUACCGCGCACUCGAUGCUGUCGAAGAUACCGCCCGCUCACAAAAAUGGCGACCAGCACGUAUAAAUAUGUCCUCUUUUUCUCCCCCCCAGAGAAAGAUGAGUAUCUGUCUUUUUACCACUCGGAUGUCACCGAUUCUCCAUAUCCUCAUCUUUCUCCAUUGUUCGUUGUUCUAUCGCGAGGACAGUGU